UUUGGCAGUCAUAGUGCAAUAGCUCCACCUGAAUCCAUCCCGAACUCAGAAGUGAAAUGUUGUGAUGCCGAUGGUAGUGUAGGGUUUCCCUAUGCGAGAGUAGGACACUGCCAAGU
rnacentral:rRNA from 1 species